AUUGAACGCUGGCGGCAGGCCUAACACAUGCAAGUCGAGCGAGCGGCGGACGGGUGAGUAAUGUAUGGGGACUGCCCGAUAGAGGGGGAUAACUACUGGAAACGGUGGCUAAUCCCGCAUACUAUCGGCUAACCCCUAUGGGAUUAGCUAGUAGGUAAGGUAAUGGCUUACCUAGGCGACGAUCCCUAGCGGUACUGAGAGGAUGAUCAGCCACACUGGGACUGAGACACGGCCCAGACUCCUACGGAGGCAGCAGUGGGGAAUAUUGCACAAUGGGCGCAAGCCUGAUGCAGCCAGGCCGCGUGUAUGAAGAAGGCCUUAGGGUUGUAAAGUACUUUCAGUAGGGAGGCGUUACCGACAGAAGAAGCACCGGCUAACUCCGUGCCAGCAGCCGCGGUAAUUC
rnacentral:rRNA from 1 species